rnacentral:lncRNA from 1 species
UGAUCUCUGAACUAAAAACUCCUACAGUCAGAGCAGUGCACCCACGUGUGCGUGGUUUCUCAGACAUCAUUUGAUGGUUGAGAAGCUGCCUCUUUUUACCUAAAAGCAUCUGCAGCAACCGAGGGUUCCCAAAUUGCUUCAGCUGAGGAAGACAGAGUAUAAAGUUCUGACGCACAGUCCCAGAACUCAUGGUGUGUCUUUGGAGGAGACUGAGGUAGGUUGUUUCAUUUAUCAGAAAGCAUUUCAACAUGGAGUGUGCUAUCAAUCUGCCUGACAGCAUCUCCAACGGCUCCCUGAAACUGUGCCAGCAGCAGAGCUGGGUUACCUCUGGGCCAAGGCUGCUGCAACACCUGCUUUUUCUACUUAUAGCGUUGGAUGAACCAUCUGCAGCCAACGCAACCCUGUUUGCGUUGGUUUUUCCAUUGCUGUUUUUAGUGGAGUGGGGGCAAGAAAUUCAUCAGCAGUCCUACACUGCUCCCAGCAGACAGACUAGGGACUCUUAUCUGCUGAUAUAAACACUGGCUUGAGCAGAAUGCACAGAAUUAUUACUUGGUCAGAUCGAGCAUCAAGUGCUGUUGGAGUACAGUCAGAGCAGAGCAGCAUUCACGUUGAGACAACCAAACAGUAAAGUUCACUGCACACCUACCAAAGACAAUUAUUUCAGCAACAGAGAGAGACAAAAUUGGAUAACAACCUUGCAGCCAAAACCUUAAGGGCCUAACAACAUUCAUAUUCAGAGCAAUGCUGGUGUAAUAAUGACGUAAAUCAAUCCCCUCAAACAGAGCCAUCCUGUAUGCCUU